GGCGGACGGGUGCGUAACGCGUGGGAAUCUACCUUAUAGUGGGGGAUAGCCCGAAGAAAUUCGGAUUAAUACCGCAUAAUCUCUACGGAGCAAAGUGGGGGAUCUUCGGACCUCACGCUAUUAGAUGAGCCCGCGUUGGAUUAGCUAGUUGGUGGGGUAAAGGCCCACCAAGGCGACGAUCCAUAGCUGGUUUGAGAGGAUGAUCAGCCACACUGGGACUGAGACACGGCCCAG
rnacentral:rRNA from 1 species